rnacentral:ncRNA from 1 species
UCUUAUCAAGAGAAGUCGAGGGACUGGCCCGAUGACGCUUCAGCAACCAGCCUUGAAGGUCAGGUGCUAAUUCCAGAAGGCAGACGCCUUGAAAGAUAAGA